UCCAAGGGAUGCUUCUGCCUUCCUUCCACCUGUCUUUCAAACUAAGACAGUCAUUCUGCAGUUAUUGUGCAUAUUGACAACAAUCCAAAAGCAUUCUAUAUGUUGCAUUUAAUAAACACAUUAUUAGUUUCCUGACUGACUCUUUUGGAUGCGACUGGACCCAUAGUUAGUAUUCUUGCACUCAUGCUUGGGCAUGUUAAGUUUUUGCAGCAAAACUAACACUGUCAAGUCCAUCACUAAACCAUGUCUUUAAGUUCCGCAUCUGCACAUCCUGAUGAAGAAGCUGGCAGAACUGAGCCUGCAGUGAACCCCAGCAGUAAGCAAACAGCACCCUUGGCUACCUCAAAAGGAAUAUAUUCUAGCAGUUCAGAGAAAGUGAAUAUGGCUCUUCAAUUGGCAAGUACAAAUUAUACUGGUUAUACUAUCCCUGGAAUACAAUGUGCAAUCAAGUGUAGGCUACCAAAAUGGUGGGAUCUGGAACUCAUGUCCUGUGGGGAGAGGCUGUAGCACUAGGGCUGGUUCAUCCAAGAGAAGUGCUGAUGACAGUGGUACCUACUUACAGCUCUGUCACUGACAGGAGGAUCAGGCAGGCACAACUAGGUCUUUCACAGUGGUACAUGUGGGAGGGAAAGAGGCAACAGGCAGUAGUUGAAACAUGGGAGAUUCAGGAUGGACUUAAGGAAAAAACCACUCACAAUUGGAGGAAAAUUGUGCAGCUUAAAGAGACAGAAAUCUAUGUCCCUGGUAGCUUCAAGACUGUAUAGAGCUCUUAGCAAUAUGGUUUGAAUACACCGUUGACUCUGCUUUGGGUGGCAGUCUAGAUAGAGACCUCUCAUGGUCUACUCCAGCCUGAAUGACCAAGUGAUUCUAGGUGUUUCACAGGGCAUCAGUGAGCACAGUCUCAGGCUUAUGUUACAUUUUAAUAAACAAGAAACUCUGAGAGAUACAAAUGCAGCAUUUGAAAUUAGAUUUCAAAUUAGGUUUAAGACACAAAUGAUUAGAUUUCCAUCUUGCAUGUAAUUCAUAUGAUUGAACUGUGAGACUAGGUAUGUGAGCCUAGAUUAAGGACUGGUAAAUGAGAAGCUCUGGAGUGACAGUAAGUCACUGUAAGUAAGUGCCAUUGGUCAUUAGGUUUCCCAGGGGAAAAAUUAAGACUGUCACUACUCUGAGACUUGAUCUAAUCAAGCCUUUGCCUAGUGCUAGGUUUUGGAGAUGUGUAUUCUUCAGUGUGACAGUAUGAGCACAAUUAAAAUGCAUGCCACAAAAUAAAUUUAGAACAGGAAGUACUUGGUUUCUCAGUGUAAAAAUUAGACGAGAUAUUCCACAUAGUGCCAAUGAACCUAAUUUAAUUUUGGGAUUAUGGUUGGGGAUUAGUAGACUCUCUAAAAUGUCUGUAAAAAUGACAGAUAAAGCCAGAACUGAAAAGGAAGAAUAGCAUGAUACCAGACAGUAUUUUUAUGGUUGAAAUAGGAAAUAUUAUACCCUAUUACUACUGAACAUUGUGCAAAGUCAUGGUUCACCUUUACUAUAGUAGAAGAUGUAACUGUCGCUAACACUGUCAACACAGUUCAGUCGGGUAAACCAAGGUAACCAUUUUCACAUGAGAUAUUGAUAUCCUGUUUCUUGGCCUCUGGAUGUCUCACCAGAACAGCAAAGACUUUCUCUCAAAUCUGGGUUGUAGGUUCUAUCUGUUAGCCAACAGCAGAUGUGAUAAUAGGUUAGAGCUGACUUUAUACUUAAGGCUCAAUAAAACAGAUUAUGUAGAACAAAAUUUAGCCUGAUUACCGAAGUUAUUAAGAAUGCUAACCAUUAAGGCUCUAGAAGAGACUAUGAGUUGGGCUUCUGUAGGGCUUUGCUGCAUAUUUACUAACCUAAAGCCAAGAUUUCAAAAUAGAAGAUUUCAUAAAUUUGAAGAUAAUCUAUUCUAAGAUUUCCAGUAAAAAUCAAAUUCCAAAGUGGGCUCAUAACAGCAGAUUCAUUUUUAUGUUUGGCUGUUGUACAACCCAGCAGUGUAUUAAGGAUAAGGAUAGAGUUUGUGCUAGAGUUUAGAUUAAAGGAUCACACUAAAUUACAGUAAUUUUGGAGUUUUCUAGCAGAGUAAAUUGUGAAAAUAUGAUGGUUUAUUUCCCUGUGUAUUUUUCUGGUCAUGUUCUGGUAAAUUAUCUGUUCAGGGGUGUAAGACAGAUAUAGGGCUGUACUAAAAGCUAUGGUUUACAGACACAGAAGCUGAAGAGAGAAGAAAUCUCCUUUUGUUCUUCACUCCAGACUUGCCUGUAUUUCCCUCCUUUCACCAUUCCUUUUCCUGCUGGCAAUUGAAUCACAAGGCUUUAAGCAGAAAAGAAGGAGAAAGAGCUCAUUACCUGUUACUGGACUAGACAGGACUGACAAGGAACAUGUCAGCAGCCAAGGAAUUAGUCACUGAGUGCAAGACAGGAAGAUCUGUUGGUGUUUUCCUUGAUGGCUGUUUCUGCUGAUUACCUUCAGGGAGGCAAGUGCUGGAAAAAGUAAUUAUCUAAGUAAUCCUAACCAGAUUUCCUGAUUAUCCUUUUACUGCAAUAUGAAUAACAUUGUUCUAGUCUCUCUCAGAAGUAUUACUCACUUCUCUGAAUGAUGACACGCUCACCACUGGCAAAGCUUUAGAGCACACUAAAAGCAUGUCUAUCAAGGAGCUAAUAAAAGCACCCAGUUGCUUUGAUAGAAGAAAUUGGAGUGCAGGAGAAGAAAGCAUGGCUAUCCAAAAUGCUCUUCAGGAACAACUGUUGCAGUCUGUUUGUUGAUUUUGUUUGUACAAUUUAUUGAUUUGUUCCUGUUAUUCCCCCCCAUGGUUUUGUAAUGGUUUUGCCUCCUUUUGUCAAUUUUGUAAACCCCUCCCCUUGUUCCUGAACCUUCCCUGUCUGUCAUCCCCAGCCUGCCCCUAGCCCCUGUCUAUCACUGUAAACCCUUCCCUUUGUUCCAGCA